UUUUCUUUGGGUAAAUACGCAGUAGUGGAAUUAAUGAAUAUCUAUUUUUAAGUUUUUGAGGAACCAUAACACUUUUUUGACAAUAGCAUUAUAUUCAGGCCUUAUAAAAUGAAUGGGACAACAUUACUAUACCAGACUUAUAAAAUUAAUAACUCAAUACCAGAUGAUGGGGGAAGGCUUUAUUCAAACAAUUUUAUAUUACUAUUAAUAAUAUCGAUAUAAAAUAGAAACCACGUUUUUUACAUGACAUGACUUAAGGAACUACCAAGGUAAUGUUGCAUCUUUUCCCCAAAAGCUCUUUUCCUAAAUAUUUACCUCUGUGACCUUUAUGUUUAUUUCUAGGUAAAAACUGUGUUUCGAUGGUGAAAAUAGCUUUCAAGUCCAUGAAUAAGGACACAUGUGUACUUUUAUGUAUACCUUUCCAUUUAUCAGAAAUAUAAGAGGGACAGAGAACUUGAGAGAGAAAAUCUUCAGGUGAAGCAAGCAAGCUGAAACUGAGGAAAUUCUUCCUGAAAGAAUGAUUUAUUUCUUCCAAAGAAAUUUGGUUUAUCAAACUCAAUCAACAAAUGAGUGAACCCAUGGUGUGGUUAUUUACAGCAAAAUUUAAAACCCAACAGAUUUCUCUUUCCCAUCUAGCAUGCUUCUGUCUAACCUCUCAUCAUUAGUUGGUAUGUACAAAAGACACAAUUCACUUUAUUUAUAAUUGAAAUCCAGUCAGAAAUAAUAGGUGAACCUUCACUUCUCACAUUUGGACUUCUCUCUCUCUCCCUCCCGACAGGAAGGGAGACUUACCUAACAGGUGAAUUUGGGAGAAGGAGCUAGGCAGUGCUUAUGUGUUUCUGAGUCUCCUCUUUGAAAAGAUGUGCCUGCCCACAGUAACAUGAAUUUGGGUCUGCUCUCAGCUCUGUGAAAGAGAAGAGCAGUGUUACUUGUCGCCUACCCAGUGUCACCUGUCACAGCUCCACCAAGAAAAAUGACUAGACAACACUUACAGAAACAUUCUCUUCUUCCUUGACUUCAUAACUAAUGUACAUUGUUCAAAAGCAACGCCCACUCAAAAGAGAGAAAAAGUUGAAAGAAACCAUUUUAGAAACAAACAUAGAAAGUCAGACAAACUGAGGACAC